AUGUCCCCCCGUCGCCGAGAUCGCCCGCGGAAGAGGCCAAACCCAAUGGAGGCGAGGGCAGCGAAGGCCACCUCGGCGACGUCCUUCUCCAAGCCCCCGCCGCUGGCGCUCCCGAAGACGGCGCAGUUCUUCUUCCGGCACCUCCCGGGCCACAGCCGCGGUGGCGCCAGCGUCGUCCCCCACGCGGAGUGGGUGAGGAAGACCGCUCUGAGGGACUCCAUCCACGACGCCUACCUGCGCGCCCUCGCGCGGCUCCCUUUGAACGGCCCCCACGGCGUGCCGACGGUGCCGUCCCUCCUGCCCGCGCUCCUAGCCGGCGGCCACUGCUUCGGGCCCCUCCCCGACGGCGCCUCCAACGUCAUCGUCAACACGGUUUGGCUCUACGCCGCCUCCCCCCCUGCCCGCUUCGCCGCCGCCGACACCGUUGUCGAUGUCGUCGACAUCGAUGACAUCAAGCACAGAUCCUUCCACGGCCUCAAUCGCGUGGUCCACGAUGCCGAUCGGAACUAUGACUACUACUACGCUGCCGCUGCUGCCGCGAAGCACCCCAACUGCGAGGCCUUCGCCGCAUUCGCGCAGUCGGGGGUUGCCACAAGCCCCGCCGUCACAGAGCUGCUCGCCGGUGGCAGCAGCGCCCAUCUCUCCGCCGAGGAUGUCGAGCGGCUGGCCGUCCUACUCGUUCGACCCUCGGCUCCUCCGCUCGACUCUUGCCUGGUGCCAGAGCCCCAGUUCCCGGCGGAGAGGGAGGAGUACAUCAGAGCCGGGCAACGAUGGAGACGGAAGCUGGCUAACAUGGCGAUUCAGCACUGGAGCCGCACCAUUGGGGGGCCAGAGCUACAGCUCCAUGUUGUUUGUGACGCCAGUGUUGACAGCCAUGGUUACCAACAUAUCAACUUCAUGGCCUCUGCAACAGAUAGUCCGGCGGCCAUACAACUCUUCUUUGCGGAAUAUGCAAGAAAAAUGGGGGUCGUGCUUUGCUGCCCUGUCCAAGACUCCGUCUCUCUAAGCGGUCACUGCGAUCUUUGUGAGAGUCUUCAUCAAAGGCUUAUCAACCCAUCUUUUGGAGCAUACAAUUUCCGCAGUCCCCUUGAUGCUACCUCGGGUAUAAUUGACUUUGAUGUUGCGAAUCUGCUGGACAUCAAAUAUGCUCGGCACCUUUGGGGUUCGAGGCACAUGGACCGUGUUUUUUACCCUUAUGAUGAUUUUCAUUCCAGCGCUGAAUGGAAGUGGGAUUUCAUGGUAAUUCGGUAG
rnacentral:rRNA from 1 species